rnacentral:rRNA from 1 species
CGAUAACGAACGAGACCUUAACCUACUAAAUAGGGUUGCUGGCAAUUUGCCGGUUGACUCUUCUUAGAGGGACUAUCGGUUUCAAGCCGAUGGAAGUUUGAGGCAAUAACAGGUCUGUGAUGCCCUUAGACGUUCUGGGCCGCACGCGCGCUACACUGACGGAGCCAGCGAGUACAACCUUGGCCGAGAGGUCUGCGUAAUCUUGUGAAACUCCGUCGUGCUGGCGAUAGAGCAUUGUAAUUAUUGCUCUUCAACGAGGAAUUCGUAGUAAGCGCAAGUCAUCAGGUUGCGUUGAUUACGUCCCUGCCCUUUGUACACACCGCCCGUCGCUAGUACCGAUUGAAUGGCU